rnacentral:rRNA from 1 species
GAUGAACGCUGGCGGCGUGCUUAACACAUGCAAGUCGAACGAAGCUGCUUAACUGAUCUUUUUCGGAAUUGACGUUUUGUAGACUGAGUGGCGGACGGGUGAGUAACGCGUGGGUAACCUGCCCUGUACAGGGGGAUAACAGUCAGAAAUGACUGCUAAUACCGCAUAAGACCACAGCACCGCAUGGUGCAGGGGUAGAAACUCCGGUGGUACAGGAUGGACCCGCGUCUGAUUAGCUGGUUGGUGAGGUAACGGCUCACCAAGGCGACGAUCAGUAGCCGGCUUGAGAGAGUGAACGGCCACAUUGGGACUGAGACACGGCCCAAACUCCUACGGGAGGCAGCAGUGGGGAAUAUUGCACAAUGGGGGAAACCCUGAUGCAGCGACGCCGCGUGAGUGAAGAAGUAUCUCGGUAUGUAAAGCUCUAUCAGCAGGGAAGAAAAUGACGGUAC